CAACCAGCUGAAGUGGAGAAGAUACAAACUAAUUUAGUUAUACAACAGCGUUAUUCCCAAGUUUGAUUUUACACUUCAAAUAACUGGUUAAAUCUUAUACAAUUUGGAGACAGACAUGCAUCUCCAUAUCACAAAGAUUCAAAGAUCCCUGAAAACUGACUCACAAAGAAUAUACCUGGAAAUAGACAAUAAACAUUAAAAUUUUAUAAAUUUUGUACAUGUAAUUGCUGAAAACAAGACAUACGACAGGUUUUGUUGGAAUGUGUCUGAGACAUGGCCAAGGUUGAAACCCCUGACAUUUGGCAUAAUAAUCUCUUCUUGAGAGAUGUUUUUUCAAAUUAAAAUAUUUAAACUUUAUAUUGUCUGUUAACUUGGGUAAAACUCCAAUGCAAGGGAAGAAAAAUCUGCUGCAAUUGUUGUUAGAUGUGACCCCUGAUGAAACACAGAGACAGCAGUUUUUGAAAUAAAAAAUCAAAGGAUUUGUUGUCUUGAAUUUAUUUAAAACGCUGGUGUGUCCAUAUGUCAUUGGGAGAUGCAUGCAACCAUGGUCACAGAAGAUGUGAUGCAAGGUGGAGUACAGGGCUCAUUUUGACUUGGUGAGUGCAUGCAUGGCUGGCCUAGAAGUUCCCUAACUAAUGGAUGGUCUGGAUUGACCACAGGGUUCCUCCACAUUGCAGAAACAUGUUGGGUUGUCUGGCUCUGUUCUGAGGAGCAAGAAUCUGUUGAUCGUCUAUUUCUGCACUUUAGCUUUUCUUCUAAGGGUGUAUGAGCUGAAAGGAAUGCAAGAACAAAGAAACAGAUGAAGAACCGGUGGCUAAGAAAGUGGUUGACAUGCUGUAUUCUUCAAUGUCAGUUCAUCAGUUAACAAGCUAUUCAGGCGAGUUCCAUAUGAUUCUUUUUUUUUUUUCUGACUUUGAUACCCCUUUAAGAAAAACAGAUGAAUAGAAUACAGUGAUGGUAUUAGUGUGAUCUCCAAUUGUACAGCUCCUCAUUGUACAGGGGUACUGCUUUGAUGCAUUAAUGAAUACAAUACCUUGCCUUUUCAGAAAAGUUCAAAAGAAAGGUUUUCACUGA